UACGUAGGGGGCUAGCGUUGUCCGGAAUCUUGGGGCGUAAAGAGCGUGUAGGCGGCCCGGUAAGUCCGCUGUAAAAGUCAAAGGCUCAACCUUUGAAUGUCAGUGGAUACUGCCGGGCUAGAGUCCGGAAGAGGCGAGUGGAACUCCUGGUGUAGCGGUGGAAUGCGCAGAUAUCAGGGAAGAACACCAACGGGCCGAAGGCAGCUCGCUGGGACGGUACUGACGCUGGAGACGCGGAAAGCGUGGGGAGCAACAGG
rnacentral:rRNA from 1 species